UGGGUGCAAAAGCCAUAAACAUAUUAUUCUUAGAGAUCACACAACCAUUGUUUUCACUAAAAAAUGAAUAACCAUGCUUCAUCAAGCAUGACGGAGACAUAAUGUUUCGACUUAAAGGAACGAAAUAAAAAUUAUUGAACUCCAUAAUAAAUCCUGACGGGGGGUGGAGUUACAUCAUCCCAACGGUCAACGCAGCAACUCUUGCAUUAUUGCCCACACGGAAAUCAACUUGUCCUCUUUCCAUGCUUCUACUUCUUAUUAGUCCCUGCAUCGAAUUGGAAAUAUGAGCAACUGAUCUGCUAUCAAAUACCCAAGAACUAAUAAUUGUAUUAGCGAGAAAUGUGUUGUCUAUAACAUUAAUAACAAGCGCACCUAAGGUGUACUCUUACUUCCGC
rnacentral:lncRNA from 1 species